CCUACGGGAGGCUGCAGUGAGGAAUAUUGGUCAAUGGCCGAGAGGCUGAACCAGCCAAGUAGCGUGCAGGAAGAAUGUCCUAUGGAUUGUAAACCUCUUUUGUCAGGGAGCAAAGUCACCCACGUGUGGGUGUUGGCAAGUACCUGAAGAAAAAGCAUCGGCUAACUCCGUGCCAGCAGCCGCGGUAAUACGGAGGAUGCGAGCGUUAUCCGGAUUUAUUGGGUUAAAGGGGUGCGUAGGCGGGUUAUCAAGUCAGCGGUAAAAUCGUGGAGCCCAACUCCAUCCAGCCGUGGAAACUGACGAUCUUGAGUCCGCGGGAAGCAUGCGGAAUGCGUGGUGUAGCGGUGAAAUGCAUAGAUAUCACGCAGAACCCCGAUUGCGAAGGCAGCUUACUGCCGCCCGACUGACGCUGAAGCACGAAAGCGUGGGUAUCGAACAGGAUUAGAUACCCCUGUAGUC
rnacentral:rRNA from 1 species